UAAGGAAUAUUGGUCAAUGGACGCAAGUCUGAACCAGCCAUGCCGCGUGAAGGAUGAAGGUCCUCUGGAUUGUAAACUUCUUUUAUCUGGGACGAAAACGGGAUUUUUAUCUCAAUUGACGGUACCAGAGGAAUAAGCACCGGCUAACUCCGUGCCAGCAGCCGCGGUAAUACGGAGGGUGCGAGCGUUAUCCGGAAUUACUGGGCGUAAAGCGUGCGUAGGUGGUUGUUUAAGUCUGAUGUGAAAGCCCUGGGCUCAACCUGUGAAUGGCAUUGGAAACUGGGCAGCUAGAGUGCGGUAGAGGGUAGUGGAAUUCCCGGUGUAGCAGUGAAAUGCGUAGAGAUCGGGAGGAACAUCUGUGGCGAAGGCGACUGCCUGGACCAGCACUGACACUGAGGCACGAAAGCGUGGGGAGCAAACA
rnacentral:rRNA from 1 species